GUGGGUAGAUCCUUGCUUAUCUUUGUCUGCCACUGUGCCCUGCUUCUGGGACUGUUCCAGGUUGCUCUUGGAUCUGCUUGUCACUUUGCAUCUGGUCACUGCUGGAUCUGUUGGUGCCAUUGAGCUGCCCCUGCUCUGGUGCUGUCCAUGCAGGUGAACAUGUGGCCUUGUUUUCAUCUUCUACUCCUACCAUGUCAUCCUCUGCAGAGCUGCCCUGCUCGUGCUGAUUUGACUGGGAGCCCCUCACCCUAUGUGCAAGAUCAUAAGGAGUUUUGUAUCUUCAUGCUGUGCUUGAAGAACAUACAACUGCUCCUCACACAACAUGGCAAAACUGGGGCCUACACAACCUGAGACUUGCACUGAAGCAGCAAAAUAACUUCCUGUAACAUGAACACUGAGGAAGUGUAGAGUAACACGUAUUGGCAGAUUGGCUAACGUGCAUUUCUGAGAGAUGAUUUUCUCUUUAGGAUCCUUUGUGGUAUACAAUAUUGGCAGUAGUACUAGGUGUUGUGAUUAAUACUACAUGCCUCUAAGAAAUGGUUAUGGAAAGAUGGAAUAAUGAGAGUGGGAAUGGUGUAUAACUGAGUGCAGGGACUGGAGGUAAACAGCGCUGGACAGGCAUGUGUGUAGUCUGUAGUGUGGACAAGUUUUAUAGUUGUGGAUGUGCAACUUGAAGGAUGUUUGGCUGAAUCAUAAGCUAGUCUUAAUAAAGGAAUGUCCAACCAUCAGGACCAGAGGUUUCUAACGUAAAGACAGCAAAAGAGGGCCCUUAUGAAACCUGGCUAUAAUUGACUUAGAGAAGAGAUACAACAUACUUUUUUUAGUGACUGAGGUGCAAACUUUCCGCAUAUAUGCAUAUAAUCAAGCACAGACUCUUUGCAUUUCAUGUAAGAUGUCUUCCACUUACUAUCUUCCCACCUACAACUUAGACUACACCUGUACUUCUGUUUUGCUAAUUCUGUCAGAGAAAAAGAAAUUAUGAUGGUUUGAUUAACUGACUAGAGAUCAUCGUCAGGAGUAUAGGUCUUUCAUAUAAAAAUAAAAUGUAUUUCUCUUUCAGAAGUGCUUUGUGUUCAUAUAACACCAAAGAGGCAUGAGAAGUAGUAUGCACUUAAUCGUGCAUGAAAGAGGAAGCACAAUGGAUUUUCACAGUUACUAGUGUUAUCGAUAUAAGGUACGUACACAGUGAGCAUCACCAUGAAUCUUGACAACAAAUCUUUUAGGCACGGGAAUACUAGCAACACAAACAAAGUUGCUCAGAACAUGUUUAAAUUCUUAUUAUUUAGGGAAAUUGAAUAGUAGUAAAGAAAAUCAGUCAGAAUCUUGGAGGAAAAAAA